rnacentral:rRNA from 1 species
CCUACGCGAGGCAGCAGUGGGGAAUAUUGCACAAUGGGGGAAACCCUGAUGCAGCGACGCCGCGUGAGGGAAGAAGUAUUUCGGUACGUAAAGCUCUAUCAGCAGGGAAGAAGAUGACGGUACCUGACUAAGAAGCCCCGGCUAACUACGUGCCAGCAGCCGCGGUAAUACGUAGGUGGCAAGCGUUAUCCGGAUUUACUGGGUGUAAAGGGCGUGUAGACGGCAGUGCAAGUCUGGAGUGAAAUCCAAUGGCUUAACCAUGGAACUGCUUUGGAAACUGUGCAGCUAGAGUGCAGGAGAGGUAAGCGGAAUUCCUAGUGUAGCGGUGAAAUGCGUAGAUAUUAGGAGGAACACCAGUGGCGAAGGCGGUUUAUUGGACUGUAACUGACGCUGAGGCUCGAAAGCGUGGGGAGCAAACAGGAUUAGAUACCCCGGUAGUC